CUCGACGGGCCGUGUCUCUGGUGUCACAAAAUCAUCCACUGGAGAAGGUGGAAGAGGUACCAGAAGACAGUCGGGAGGUGUCUUGCGGCUCAGAGAAUCAUCAACUGGAGAAGGUGGUAGAGGUAUGAAAAAAGAGGAGAUGUCUUGCGUGUCCUAAAAUCAUCAACUCGAGGAAAUGGUACAGGUCCCCAGCGACGCUUGACGGAAGAUGUCUCUGGUGUCCGAAAAUCAUCCAAUGGAGAAGGUGGAAGAGGUACGAAAAAAGAGUGGGGAGGUGUCUUGCGUCUCCUAAAAUCAUCAGCUCGAGGAGAUGGUACAGGUCCCCGGCGACACUCGACAGGCGGUGUUUCUGGUGUCAGAAAAUCAUCUACUGGAGAAGGUGGAAGAGGUACCAGAAGACACUCGGGAGGUGCCCUGAGGCUCCGAGAAUCAACAACUGGAGAAGGUGGAAGAAGUAUGAAAAAAGACUCGGGAGGUUUCUUGCAUCUCCUAAAAUCAUCAUCUCGAGGAGAUGGUACAGGUCCCCAGUGACACUUGACGGGUGGUGUCUCUGGUGUCAGAAAAUCAUCCACUGGAGAAGGUGGAAGAGGUACCAGAAGACACUCGGGAGGUGUCUCGAGGCUCAGAGAAUCAUCAAAUGGAGAAAGUGGAAGAGGUACGGAAAAAGAGUCGGAAGGCUUCUUGCGUCUCCAAAAAUCAUCACCUCGAGG